rnacentral:rRNA from 1 species
AGUGAACGCUGGCGGUAGGCCUAACACAUGCAAGUCGAACGGCAGCACAGUAAGAGCUUGCUCUUACGGGUGGCGAGUGGCGGACGGGUGAGGAAUACAUCGGAAUCUACUUUUUCGUGGGGGAUAACGUAGGGAAACUUACGCUAAUACCGCAUACGACCUACGGGUGAAAGCAGGGGAUCUUCGGACCUUGCGCGAUUGAAUGAGCCGAUGUCGGAUUAGCUAGUUGGCGGGGUAAAGGCCCACCAAGGCGACGAUCCGUAGCUGGUCUGAGAGGAUGAUCAGCCACACUGGAACUGAGACACGGUCCAGACUCCUACGGGAGGCAGCAGUGGGGAAUAUUGGACAAUGGGCGCAAGCCUGAUCCAGCCAUACCGCAUGGGUGAAGAAGGCCUUCGGGUUGUAAAGCCCUUUUGUUGGGAAAGAAAGGCAGCAGGUUAAUACCCCGCUGUUCUGACGGUACCCAAAGAAUAAGCACCGGCUAACUUCGUG